AUAAAAGGAAGUACUUCUUCACCCAAAGGAUGAUUAACAUGUGGAAUUCACUGCCAUAGGAAGUGGUGGCAGCUACAAGCAUAGCCAGCUUCAAGAGGGGAUUGGAUAAAAAUAUGGAGCAGAGGUCCAUCAGUCCAUCAGUGUGACACAGAGCAUAGAUGGAAUUCUCUGUGUGGGGCAAGUGAUGCUCUGUAUUCUUGAUGCUUGGGGG